AACGCACAUUGCGCCCUUUGGUAUUCCGAAGGGCAUGCCUGUUCGAGCGUCAUUAUCCCCCCUCAAACCUCGGGUUUGGUGUUGGACUCGCGUUGGUCGGCUCCCCGACCAACUGGUCUCAAAGACAAUGACGGCGUCCGUGGGACCCUCGAUACACUGAGCUUUUUUCGAAGCACGUACCGAGUCGCAAGGUCCCUCCGGGCCGGUCUGCCCCUCUAGAACUUUUCUAUAGGUUGACCUCGGAUCAGGUAGGAAUACCCGCUGAACUUAA
rnacentral:misc_RNA from 1 species